GCCUUGCAAGGCUUGCCGUCAGUGGUGAAGAGGUGACCUUCCCUUCCUUUGAUGAUGACAGCCGUUUGGUACUUGGAGGCAUUGCACCUCUGGGUGUGCACCAUACAUGCGGAUCCCUCAGGAAGGCAAAGCUGCAGCACAAAGUUCUUCACUGGCCCAGAAAUAUGCAGGUCUCUCUGUGAAUGAACGAGGUCCCGGGAGUCCCCUAGGGAAUGUGGCCCUGACUGUGCACCAGCCCUGGAUAUUAACUAUGAAGGUGGAGUAGCUCUGCAAGGCUUGCCACCAGCCAUGAAGACACCACCUUCUUUUCCUGGGAUGGGCAGUGCUAUGCAGCAGUUGUAGAGGAGUGUGUCCAUGGGGGUGUUCUUCAUGGUCCUGCAUCACUUAGCAAGGUGGAGUCACUGUGCAGGGUCCUUCCUCAGCCAGUAAAGCAAGCUCGUUCUGGC